CUGCAAGGGGACAGAGACCUGUGCAGCUUGGAUACCCAGGACCUACAAGAUCAACUAAAAAGGUCAGAGGCAGAGAAACUCACCCUGGUGACCAGAGUACAGCAGUUGCAGGGUUUGCUUCAAAAUCAAUCCUUACAGCUUCAAGAACAGGAGAAACUCUUAACAAAGAAAGGUCAGCAAAUUUAUUACCACAAAUUCUAAGAUAUUGCUCUUCUCUUACCUGCCUAGAGGCAGCGGGAUGGACUACAUGACCUCCUGGAGUCCCAGCCAGUUCUGGGAGUCUGUUAAGUCCGGGAUGUGUGGGAGCUUUUUAAGGACUGAUCAUUGGCUCUGAGGACACUUCAACUAGUUAGCCUUCUAUCUUGAGAUCAGGCUUUGCCCGUGUGGAGUCCAAAGUCCUUCCCUAACGAAGUGGAGCCUGAGGGUACAGGGAAGGAGAAAGACUGGGAUCUCAGAGACCAGCUGCAAAAGAAGACUUUGCAGCUCCAGGCCAAGGAAAAGGAGUGCAGAGAACUGCAUUCAGAAUUAGACAACCUCAGUGACGAGUAUCUCUCCUGCCUGCGUAAGCUGCAGCACUGUCGAGAAGAGCUGAACCAGAGCCAGCAGCUGCCUCCCAGAAGGCAAUGUGGGCGAUGGCUCCCAGUGCUGAUGGUGGUGAUUGCUGCAGCACUGGCAGUGUUCCUGGCCAAUAAAGACAACCUGAUGAUCUGAAUAAUUUGUGACAACUGCCUUGGGUGAAAAUCAGA
rnacentral:lncRNA from 10 species